rnacentral:piRNA from 1 species
UGGAUAGUCUAAGGAUUGGUCUUUCACA